rnacentral:lncRNA from 1 species
GGGUCGGCCCAUAAGGGGUAAAGUACUGGCAAAAGUGGUGACUCCAUAUGAGAGCAGGGCUUGAACUCCUGACCUCUCUUAAGGAGUGAGAGUGGCGAACCACUCACACCAACUAACUUUUGGUUCUAUUACUUCCCUUUUGACAAACCAUAGAAUCACACCUACAAUCAACAAUCACCCACGCACUCUUACUUUCCUUUUGACAAACCACAUACGACGGAUGAGCCCAUAGAAGACGGAUCACCACCAUCACGUGAUCGAGGGAGCAGAACUCACGCGGUGGUGCGUCCAAACUCUGACGAAAUCGACGGCGACGGGGGUGGUUGGAGCCAUGGUUCUUUCGAGCUAAAUCGCUGGCGUUCCUGGUGGUUUUCGGCGGCAAGGAUGGCAGGGAAACGACGAUCGGCUUCCAAGCUUCAGAUCAAUACCUUGAUUGGCCGAUAGAGUGGCCGGGAUCGUGAAAUAUAACCGGGUCACUUUCGUGGGUCGGGUUCGCGGGUCAAAUCGGGUCAACCUCUCUCCCUCCUCAUCUCCUCAUCCACUCACAAAGAGCCACACCACGGCUCCCCUUAGCCAGGUUGUUGCUGUUGGAAUUUUUUUUGUUGAAAGUGUUACUGGUGCUGGAAUUGAU